rnacentral:rRNA from 1 species
GAGUUUGAUCCUGGCUCAGGACGAACGCUGGCGGCGCGCCUAACACAUGCAAGUCGAACGAGCGAGAGAGAGCUUGCUUUCUCGAGCGAGUGGCGAACGGGUGAGUAACGCGUGAGGAACCUGCCUCAAAGAGGGGGACAACAGUUGGAAACGACUGCUAAUACCGCAUAAGCCCACGGCCCGGCAUCGGGCAGAGGGAAAAGGAGCAAUCCGCUUUGAGAUGGCCUCGCGUCCGAUUAGCUAGUUGGUGAGGUAAUGGCCCACCAAGGCGACGAUCGGUAGCCGGACUGAGAGGUUGAACGGCCACAUUGGGACUGAGACACGGCCCAGACUCCUACGGGAGGCAGCAGUGGGGAAUAUUGCACAAUGGGGGAAACCCUGAUGCAGCGACGCCGCGUGGAGGAAGAAGGUCUUCGGAUUGUAAACUCCUGUUGUUGAGGAAGAUAAUGACGGUACUCAACAAGGAAGUGACGGCUAACUACGUGCCAGCCGCCGCGGUAAUAC